UCGCACAUAGUCCAGAUCCUCUGAGAUAAUUCAAGUCCAUUCUUAAUCUUCAUAGGUUAUAGGUCCAAACCCCGAUUAAGAACGGAACUGUUGUAAUAACCACGAACAGGUACGAACCUGGCCGGAUACGGAAAUUCUAUAAGGUGGCGUUGAAAACUAAAUUGACAUACAUUUAGGUUAUGUGUGAAGCAGUCCGCUCCAUCUACAAUUAAAUCUGAAAGGAACACACCAACCAAACGAGGCGGAAGAUAUUUGGCGCACUUAAGACCGUUUAUCCGCUCAUCAACAGAAAGAGCCCACUCGGCGUGCAGAGCAAGAUUCUCCUUUACAAAACCCUGAUCCGACCCAUCAUAACUUACGGCUGCCCUGUCUGGUCGACAAUAACAAAGACGAACAUGCUGGUACUUCAACGCAUACAAAACAAAAUGCUAAGACACGCGAAAAA